UUUCUUCAACAAACAAAAUGUCUUACUGCGUUUCUUUUGUGAAAUAAACUUUUCGUUAUCAAAAAAUUUGGUUGCAGUAUUCUCCUUCAACCAUUUCUCCUCUACCUUACUCGAUCUCAUGUUCAUCUUUCAGGGUCUCGUUUAAAACCCUUUAAUCGGUUGGUUCAAGGAUACGACCUCGAGUUGAAGUACAAUUCCAAAUUCAUCAAAGAUAUUUCUUAAGAGAAACGAUGCUGGUGACCAUUUUCCCUCACUUGCAAUCUGCUUAGGCUUUGAACUAUUAAGU